AUUGAACGCUGGCGGCAGGCCUAACACAUGCAAGUCGAACGGUAACAGGAAGCAGCUUGCUGCUUCGCUGACGAGUGGCGGACGGGUGAGUAAUGUCUGGGAAGCUGCCUGAUGGAGGGGGAUAACUACUGGAAACGGUAGCUAAUACCGCAUAAUGUCGCAAGACCAAAGAGGGGGACCUUCGGGCCUCUUGCCAUCGGAUGUGCCCAGAUGGGAUUAGCUUGUUGGUGGGGUAACGGCUCACUAAGGCGACGAUCCCUAGCUGGUCUGAGAGGAUGACCAGCCACACUGGAACUGAGACACGGUCCAGACUCCUACGGGAGGCAGCAGUGGGGAAUAUUGCACAAUGGGCGCAAGCCUGAUGCAGCCAUGCCGCGUGUAUGAAGAAGGCCUUCGGGUUGUAAAGUACUUUCAGCGGGGAGGAAGGGAGUAAAGUUAAUACCUUUGCUCAUUGACGUUACCCGCAGAAGAAGCACCGGCUAACUCCGUG
rnacentral:rRNA from 1 species